CAGAGCUAUCCGGUAAAGAAGAAACCAAAAAGCUCUGAGGCAUAGCACCCCUAAACCAACUUACCCAGGAAGCUAGAAGGAGCAGAGGUGUUUUCCCCCAGGGCUGAGAAAGCCAAACUGAACUGGUGGUUACUGUUCCAAAAUUUGAAUCAACCUAGAGCCCUGAGAGUACCCCAGGCCUUUGAGGACUAGACACUAGAAGACGGAUGGUUGAUGCAAAUGUCCAAGACAGAAGUGGGUUUGGCAUACCUACUGGGUUUCCUGGGCCUUCAGAGUUGUAUGGAAGAACUGAAAAAUUUCCUCAUGUUUCCCAGGACAGCUGUGGAAAUGAAGACAGAACGAGCAAGACAGCAAGAGAGAACUGUUGGGCACUGAAAUCUAGAAGUUAUGAAAAGAGGCUACCUCUGGGGACAGUUAUGUAGAUCAAAUUUAGAGAUUAAUCAUGGCUUAGGACCAGAAAGAACUCUAUGUUUCAAUUAUGAAUUAUGACCAAGUAGGCAGAAGCUAUCAGGCAGUGACCAGAUGACCCCCUCAAGUUUUCUGGGUACAAAGAAAGUGUACUUGAAAUGAAAAUUAAGAACUUGUAAAAAUUGUGUAUAUUUAACUUUUGAAUUAAUGGCCUGAAAAAAUUAUACCAUUAUGUGUGAAUAACUAAUAAAGUAGAAGUUUGAAGAUGCAAGCAUGAAAGGCAAAUAACAGAGCACAUUUCAGAGAAAACAGAGAUUAUAAUUUUAUGGAGAGGGAUAUGUAGUCUUGACCAAAAGGGAUACUUCUUUUUCAGAAACAAGAUCAAAAUUAGAUUUUUUAAAUUGAAAGUUUAAAUCAUAUAAACUUUGCCUAUUAAGUAAGGGGGAAAAAAUCCUCAUCUGUUUAUAAUUUUAAAAAAUGGGAUGCUUUUGGGAAGUUUCUUUUUUUCCUAUGGGUUUCACAUUCCUGCAAGUAGCAUCAGGUAGAUGAAUAUUUAGAACCAAUUUCAAGAAGCAAAAAUUAAGUCUUAGAGAACUAUAUUUAAUUUCAAGUACAGUAGUCUUUAGAGUAUUUGGUACAUUAAAGAACGGAAAAUGUUAGUUCCACUUACUACUUAAAUUUUAAUAGAUUUUAUUUUGAUUAUUAUUUUUUGUUUGUUUCUAAGAGUCAGCGUAACCCAAUCAUUUCACUUUUCCUCAGGAUCACCACAAAUAUCACUCUUUUUCUUUUUCAUUUUUUAGAGCUUAAUUGCUUCGUUUUGUCUGUUUUGA
rnacentral:lncRNA from 1 species